CAAGCCCAAACGGGGUGUGUGCGGCGUGCCUGUUGUUUGGUUUCCGGUUGAACUAGAUCCGGUGGGCAUGCGAAAAAAACUACAAACUUUGCUAGGCCAAAAAGAACGUUAAUCUCAUGAUAAAAACAAUUGACACCGUUCAAAUUGGUUUGCGUUAACGCCGUUAAUAACACGUUUAACUGACAGCACUAAUUUUCGUCAGUUUGUGCUUCUCAGCUGUAAUGUUUGAGGUGACUGGAGAACGUUAUCUACCUCAAGGUGUCACUGAGGCUCAGCUGAAGAAAUAAAAACUUGUUCAAUCACAUCUCCCUUUCAGAACUGAUGUUACAUAUGGAUUCAUGAAAGGGGAAAAAGCCUCUGUGAUGUGAGAGGACUGGCAGAAUUCUGUGCGUGCGUGCGUGCAUGUGUGUGUUUGUGUGUGUGUGCUGUGUUCCCCGUGCACACUGUUGUGAGGUGAAGCUGUUUGUGUUUCUGCUGUUUUUCCUCAGCUGGCAGGCCUCACAGGCUGGAACAGGAAGUCACUUGUGGGCACACGGAUAGAGGAAAGUAGCCCUGUAUAUUGUAUUUGUGCCUCUGAGUAAUUAUUAAAAGCGUUUAAAU